rnacentral:lncRNA from 1 species
UCGGUCCGAGUGCCAACCAGUCGGGCCCAGUACUCAGGCUGGGAACCUUGACGAGCCUGAAUUACUACGAGUUGGGUGUCCUACUUGGGCAUAAAAAAUUCUAAAAAAAUAAUGAAUUUGUUUGUGAUUGUUUUCUUAUAUUUCCUAUAUUUUGGCCGUAAAUAUCUAUUUUCACAUUUUCUCAUCUUUUUUGGGUUAUUUGAAAAUACACCCAAUAACAAGUUGAUUUCUUAAAAUUUAUUUUUCGGUGUGGAUUGUAUAGAGCCUAGGCUCUAAACAAUC